AACGAACGCUGGCGGCAUGCCUAACACAUGCAAGUCGAACGAGACCUUCGGGCCUAGUGGCGCACGGGUGCGUAACGCGUGGGAAUCUGCCCUUCGGUUGGGACUAACUGAGAGAAAUUUCAGCUAAUACCUUAUAAUGUCUUCGGACCAAAGAUUUAUCGGCGAGGGAUGAGCCCGCGUAGGAUUAGGUAGUUGGUGGGGUAAUGGCCUACCAAGCCGACGAUCCUUAGCUGGUCUGAGAGGAUGAUCAGCCACACUGGGACUGAGACACGGCCCAGACGCCGUCUGGCGGCAGCCGUGGGGAAUAUUGGACAAUGUGCGAAAGCCUGAUCCAGCAAUUCCGCGUGAGGGAUGAAGGCCUUAGGGUUGUAAAGCUCUUUUACCCGAGAUUAUAAUGACAGUACCGGGAGAAUAAGCUCCGGCUAACUCCGUGCCAGCAGCCGCGGUAA
rnacentral:rRNA from 1 species